GGGCCCGUAGUAUAACUUGGACAGAAUAUCUGGCUACGGACCAGAGGAUGGGGGUUCGAAUCCCUCCGGGCUCG
rnacentral:tRNA from 1 species